UUUUAUUUCUAGAGCUGUGUCACAGGGUGCCCGAUGCCAAGCAGGGUCCAGUCUAUCCAAGGUGGGCUUCUGCAAGGAGAUGGGAGAUCUCAACCCACCUGUGAGCAAUUCACUGCUUGGCAGCUGAUUGACUAACAAGUGCCUGGGUCUGAUGGAAGGCAACCAGCGGUUAGCUGAAGAGAGUGAUCUGAGACAGAGGAGACACUUACACUGCUGACCUCUCCAAGCUGACAGAUGAAAGGAUGGAGGAAAACAGGGAGAAGCUGCUGAGGGCUGCAACUGGCCUGAAGUAUAGCCCAGCUCUGGGAGGAGGGCAGAGGGUUCCUGAACGUGGGAGAGGACGCUUGUUGGCCGUGGCCAUAGAUCCAAGGGAAGGGUUGGAUUUCAGGGGCUAAUGAGGAAGUUUUUGGUAUUUACAAAAGGAGCUAAUAAAUGGUGCCCCGCAAAGGGGGGAUCCUGGUCUCAGUUCCUCAGCCUGAGUAAAUGCAAGCAUCAAGAGGGCUGUGUGCCUGCAGGGCUGCAAGGGUGUGUUUGAGGAUGGAGCCCUGUCACAAGCUGGGACCUGGGUUUGCAGCUACUGGCUCCGGUCCUGCAAACAGCCACACAAACGCUGAACAGUUAGCAGUCCCAGGUGAGAGCUGCUGAAUCUCUCCGAAAGCCAAUGCCUAUCUCCUGCCUGUCAUCUCUCGGUGCACUGUCUUCCUGCAGACCCAUGCUGAGUUCACAUGCUCCAUCAGGGAGUUUCCCUUGGAUAGGUGGUAAGUGUUCAGGCCUUGGGGCUCCCAUUGUCUUUCCAUGUUGUCUACUGAUAUACAGUAGAACCUCAGAGUUACAAACCCCUCGGGAAUGGAGGUUGUUCAUAACUUGGAACAAAACGUUAGGGUUGUUCUUUCAAACGUUUACAGCUGAACAUUGACUUAGUACAGCUUUGAAACUUUACUCUGCGGAAGAAAAAUGCUGCUUUCCCUUUUUUUAUUUUUGUAGUAGUUUACAUGUCAUAGUACUGUACUGUAUUUCCUUUUCUUUUCUUUGGCACAGCUGCUGUUGCCUGACUGUGUACUUCCGGUUCCAUAUGCGGUGUGUGGUUGACGGGUCAGUUUGUAACUCUGGUGUUUGUAAUUCUGAGGUUGUACCAUAGCCAGUUCUUUAAUGACCUUUUCACUCCACCCCAGAUAGUUGCCUGGUACACACCCCUCAUGUCUCCUGCUCUGUGCAAGGAGCAAACUCUGUAUCCCUUUUGCACCCACUGAGUAGCAAUGCAAACUGCAGAGGAAACUGAAGCACGCACCAUGUGUAAGGCUACGUUUUAGUUCCGGGUAUUUUUAGUAAAAGUCAUAGACAGGUCACAGGCAGUAAACAAAAAUUCACGGCCUGUGACCUGUCCAUGACUUUUACUAAAAAUACUGGUGACCAAAACUUGGGAGGGGCUGCCUGGAGGCCCUGCAGGUGCUGCAGGAGGGCAGCCUGGGUGCUGGGGGGGGGGGGCUGGUGGGUGGUGGCACACGGCCCAGGAUCCCCGCUGGUGCUGGGGGCAGAUUGGUGGAGCUGGCAGACUCCCUACCUGGCUUCACGCCUCUCCCACCCAUCAGCAGAGUUUGGGUGUGGGAGGGGGCAGGGGUUGGGGCACGGGACGGGACGGGGUGAGGCGGGCUCGGGGCAGCACUUACCUGGGGGGCCCCCCGGAAGUGGUGACAUCUCCUUUGCUCAGCUGCUAGGCUGAGGCAUGGCCAGACAGUUCUGUGUGCUGCCUCUGCCUGCAGGCACCACCUCCGCAGCUCCCAUUGGCCACCUGCCUGAGCGGCCCCUGAGCCAGGCAUACUGGCUGCUGCAAAAGUCACAGAGGUCACGGAAACGGUGACUUCUGUGACCUCCAUGACAAACUUGCAGCCUUAACCAUAUGCCUAAUAGGGAGAUAUCUCUUUAAGGGACCGAUGGGGCGGGGGAGUGAGUUGUGUUUGCUAUUGUUGUAGGCAGAUUUAGCAUUCCACAUCCAGAAGUUUUGGGAAUUGGGUGUGCUAGUUUUCAGGCUGCUUCAGUAGGUUCCCUGUUGCUGGGGCCAGACUUCAUGUGUAGGGAGGCAGUGCCCUAUUGUGUUAUUUGGGUGAAGCUGAGCCCAGGAGCAGAGAGCAGGUGGUUUUCCCUGACUCAGAAGCAUUUUGCAGCAGGUUAGUGAUACUGUUAUAACCCUCAGGGAAGCAUGGCCAGUGUUAAUUACAGAAAGGGGAAAUUGGUAGGGGAAACUAAUUUCUUUUUCUUUUAACUGUAUUCUAGGAAUGUUGUUUGAUUUUAGCCAAACUGUUUUAGUUAAAUUGUCUCAACCAGUGCGAUUCACCGACUUUUCUUAAAUGUGAUAAUGGGGAAAGAGUCAGUUAUAUUUUGCUGUUCUCAGUUCUGUAUUUUUUGUAACCGGGUUUUUGGUUUUUUUUUAAAUCUAUAUACUUAACUGAGUGGUUGGUUAAUCAGUUGACUGGCUUGGAGGAGGAAGAGCCUGCAUGGAUUCCAAUCUUUAAGAUUCCUACUAGAAAGUGGAGGGAAGAUAUUUUAGAGUCAGCAGUUUGUAUAGAUUUAGUGAUCAAAGAUUCUAAUGGAGACUCCGGUGAACUCAACCUAAACUUUUGGGAAUGCUGAGUUCCUUCUCAUCGUGUUUCUGUGGGGACUGACCUGUUUAGAUUUUAAUUUGUUUUCUUUAUUUAUGUUUAUUUAGAACUGUGAAGAUAAUAUCUGUGGAUUAUAAAGUAGCCAAGUUAUGUUGUAAAAUUAAAUUAUUAUUAUUUUUUAUGUUUCUUUA